GACGAACGCUGGCGGCGUGCUUAACACAUGCAAGUCGAGCGACGCACCCCCUUCGGGGGGAUGACGGAGCGGCGAACGGGUGAGUAACACGUGGGCAACCUGCCCCUAGCUCUGGGAUAACUCCUCGAAAGAGGGGCUAAUACCGGAUAUGACCUCGGAGGGCAUUCUCUGAGGUGGAAAGUUUUUCGGCUAGGGAUGGGCCCGCGGCCUAUCAGCUUGUUGGUGAGGUAACGGCCCACCAAGGCGACGACGGGUAGCCGGCCUGAGAGGGUGACCGGCCACACUGGGACUGAGACACGGCCCAGACUCCUACGGGAGGCAGCAGUGGGGAAUAUUGCGCAAUGGGCGAAAGCCUGACGCAGCGACGCCGCGUGAGGGAUGACGGCCUUCGGUU
rnacentral:rRNA from 1 species